rnacentral:rRNA from 1 species
CACGUAGGGGGCGAGCGUUGUCCGGAUUUAUUGGGCGUAAAGAGCUCGUAGGCGGCUCGGUAAGUCAGGUGUGAAACCCCCGGCUCAACUCGGGGACGCCACCUGAUACUGCCAUGGCUAGAGUCCGGUAGGGGAGCGUGGAAUUCCUGGUGUAGCGGUGAAAUGCGUAGAUAUCUGCAGGAACACCCGUGGCGAAAGCGGCGCGCUGGACCACUACUGACGCUGAGGAACGAAAGCUAGGGGAGCAAACAGG